GCCUUAGUAGCUUAAAUUAAAAGCACUGGUCUUGUAAGCCAAAGCCGGGGACUUAUAACCCCCUAAGACA
rnacentral:tRNA from 1 species